AUUGCAGCAAACAAGAAGUGAAUCCCGUAACUCCUCUUCCUCAAAUUCUCCAAAUUUUCAAUCUUCCAUAACUUCUUCAUUUCUCAACGAAAUUGAGCGAUUUUUGCGGCCACGGAACGAGCGGAGAAUUCUCUACACAUCUAUCCCAGUAAAUCAAGGUGAGUUAUGAGCUUGAUUAAAGGACUUUGAUGACGAUUUGGGAGCUUGAACCAUUCGGCAUAGUUCAUCAACCAAGACUCGAAGAAGCGACUAUCGAUAAGGCUCGAGGCGAACGGAUCGAGAUGUCUUCGUGUUAUUUGAAGAAUAUGGAUAGCAAGUGGGAUAGUAUGAUAUGAUUUGAAGAGUCAAGCUUCCGAAGUUUUAAUUCUCGGAAGUCAUUUGCACGUGAAGUAAAAGAAGGUUUUCAUUCUAGCGGUCCGCAGUAGUCUAGAUGUUUUUGUCUAUGUAUUUGUAUAACGCAUCUUAACUCUGAUGUUUUUGUAAAAUGGGGUCACAUGUAUUUUGAUAUAUGAAACAUGAUUUGAUUUGCGAAAAA